UAUUAGGUUUCUGAUGAGGAGUUAAUCGG
rnacentral:piRNA from 1 species